AAGGCUUUAAGUUAAAAAAACUAAUAGCCUUCAAAGCUAUAAAUAUAAGUCGGAUCUUUUAAGCCUUA
rnacentral:tRNA from 1 species